UACGUAGGGCGCAAGCGUUGUCCGGAAUUAUUGGGCGUAAAGAGCUCGUAGGCGGCUUGUCACGUCGGGUGUGAAAGCCCGGGGCUUAACCCCGGGUCUGCAUUCGAUACGGGCUGACUAGAGUGUGGUAGGGGAGAUCGGAAUUCCUGGUGUAGCGGUGAAAUGCGCAGAUAUCAGGAGGAACACCGGUGGCGAAGGCGGAUCUCUGGGCCAUUACUGACGCUGAGGAGCGAAAGCGUGGGGAGCGAACAGG
rnacentral:rRNA from 1 species